rnacentral:rRNA from 1 species
AUACGGAGGGUGCAAGCGUUAAUCGGAAUUACUGGGCGUAAAGCGUGCGUAGGCGGUUUAUUAAGUCAGAUGUGAAAGCCCCGGGCUUAACCUGGGAACUGCAUUUGAUACUGGUAGACUAGAGUAUGGUAGAGGGGGGUAGAAUUCCUAGUGUAGCGGUGAAAUGCGUAGAUAUUAGGAGGAAUACCAGUGGCGAAGGCGGCCCCCUGGACCAAUACUGACGCUGAGGUACGAAAGCGUGGGUAGCGAACAGGAUUAGAUACCCUAGUAGUCC